UACGAAUGGGGCAAGCGUUGUUCGGAAUCACUGGGCUUAAAGCGUAUGCAGGUGGACUUACAAGUCAGAAGUGAAAUCCCUGGGCUUAACCCAGGAAUUGCUUUUGAAACUGUCAGUCUAGAAUCCCGGAGAGGUUAACAGAAUUCCGAGUGUAGAGGUGAAAUUCGCAGAUAUUCGGAAGAACACCAGUGGCGAAGGCGGCUCACUGGACUGGUAUUGACGCUGAGGUGCGAAAGCGUGGGGAGCGAACAGG
rnacentral:rRNA from 1 species